UACGUAGGUGGCAAGCGUUGUCCGGAUUUACUGGGCGUAAAGAGCGCGCAGGCGGUCGUCCAAGUCGCGUGUGAAAGCCCCCGGCUCAACUGGGGAGGGGCACGCGAUACUGGUCGACUCGAAGGCAGGAGAGGGUAGUGGAAUUCCCGGUGUAGUGGUGAAAUGCGUAGAUAUCGGGAGGAACACCAGUGGCGAAGGCGACUCCCUGGCCUGUUCUUGACGCUGAGGCGCGAAAGCUAGGGGAGCAAACGGG
rnacentral:rRNA from 1 species